rnacentral:rRNA from 1 species
AGAGUUUGAUUAUGGCUCAGGAUGAACGCUGGCGGCGUGCAUAACACAUCAAGUCGAACGGUGAAGCACCUUCGGGUGUGGAGCAGUGGCGGACGGGUGAGUAACGCGUGAGCAACCUGCCGUAUAGUGGGGGAUAACACAGGGAAACUUGUGCUAAUACCGCAUAACGCAUAGGGACCGCAUGAUCCAUAUGCCAAAGAUUUAUUGCUGUACGAUGGGCUCGCGUAUGAUUAGACAGUUGGCAGGGUAACGGCCUACCAAAUCAACGAUCAUUAGCCGAACUGAGAGGUUGAACGGCCACAUUGGAACUGAGAAACGGUCCAGACUCCUACGGGAGGCAGCAGUGGGGAAUAUUGGGCAAUGGGCGAAAGCCUGAACCCCAGCGACGCCGCGUGAGGGAAGAAGGUCUUCGGAUUGUAAACCUCUUUCAGCAGGGAAGAAGGAAGUGACGGUACCUGCAGAAGAAGUCACGGCUAACUACGUGCCAGCAGCGGC